CAGUAGCCGCGGGAAUACGAAGGGUGCGAGCGUUAAUCGGAAUUACUGGGCGUAAAGCGUGCGCAGGCGGUUCGUUAAGACAGAUGUGAAAUCCCCGGGCUUAACCUGGGAACUGCAUUUGUGACUGGCGAGCUAGAGUAUGGCAGAGGGGGGUAGAAUUCCACGUGUAGCAGUGAAAUGCGUAGAGAUGUGGAGGAAUACCGAUGGCGAAGGCAGCCCCCUGGGCCAAUACUGACGCUCAUGCACGAAAGCGUGGGGAGCAAACAGGAUUAGAUACCCCCGUAGUCCCUGUCUCUUAUAC
rnacentral:rRNA from 1 species